CGAGGAAUCAGCGUGACAACUAUAUUUUAUUGAGAAAUACCAUACUGAUGCAAUUCUAAUGGCAAAAGACACUUUAAUUCUGUAGAAUAUGUUGGUUGAACCCAAGGUGAAUCAAAUUUGUCAUAAAUCAUUCAAAUCUUUGCCUUCUUAUGCAAUACAAACAUGAUAAGUCUUUUUGGAAAUGACUGACUCUCUGUUGGGAAGGUUUCCAAACAAAGCCCAUCUUCGUUGACAAUUGGCAGCCAAUCAGAUCGCUCGAAUUUGAUGACGUAUACUCAACAUCGCGGGUCUCUGCAUCCAGGGUCCCUAGGCACAUCUAAGUAAAAGUGAUUGAAAGGAACAAUCUUUAAAUGUAUUAUUGUAACAUCAAAAGUAUAAAAGAAUAAGUUUUCGAGUUAGAAUAGAUCAGUGUCUUCACUUUUUCAACAGAAGUCCCCAUUUCAAUGAUAUUCAACCACAAAGAUAGAGCGUCCUCCCUUGACGUCAGGCUCUAGAGGACGCACUUUAUGUUCUCAACCUUCGCUAGGGGCACCCUUGUUGUUGUUGUGGUUAAAUUUCAAGAGUACUAUCCUUAUUCAAGGACGGCGUCAUCACUGGACAGAGACGUUAGGGUGGGGGAAACGUAACUUUUAUCCAGAUGAACCGAAUGCAUUUUCCUUCACACAAGUUGGACGUUAGUUAGCUCAGAAAGCGUUCGCCAAUUUUGGCCUCAAUCGAAGGUCUGCGUCAAAAGCAAUGAGGUCCUGAAAGUCAGUACGACGUGGGCAGAAAAUGACUUGCUUAGCAUCACCUAGACGUCGGGUCAAGCAACCCCCGUCAUUUGUGGUGGAAAUGCUGGCCAACAUUUGUACUUGGACGCUGGAGACUCAGCCACAGGAACAGCAGCCCUCAAUUUCGCGUUUGCAGAUGCUGGUAGUCGUAUUUGGGACAUCAAAGUGACUCAAAUCCCUUGCAGUGCCAAUUAUAA